CCUACGGGUGGCAGCAGUGAGGAAUAUUGGGCAAUGGGCGAAAGCCUGAACCAGCGAAGUAGCGUGAAGGAUGAAUGCCCUACGGGUUGUAAACUUCGUUUAUAAAGGAAUAAAGUGAGGCACGUGUGCCUUAGUGUAUGUACUUUAUGAAUAAGGAACGGAUAACUCCGUGCCAGCAGCCGCGGUACUACGGAGGAUCCGAGCGUUAUCCGGAUUUAUUGGGUUUAAAGGGAGCGUAGAUGGGUUGUUAAGUCAGUUGUGAAAGUUUGCGGCUCAACCGUAAAAUUGCAAUUGAUACUGGCAGUCUUGAGUGCAGUAGAGGUAGGCGGAAUUCGAGGUGUAGCGGUGAAAUGCUUAGAUAUCUCGAAGAACUCCGAUUGCGAAGGCAGUUUACUAAACUGCCACUGACAUUGAUGCUCGAAAGUGUGGGUAUCAAACAGGAUUAGAUACCCCAGUAGUC
rnacentral:rRNA from 1 species